GAGGCGCGGACCAAUGAGCGGCUGCGGCGGCGGCCUGGGGGCGGGGUCUAGGGCGGGCGGAGCGGGGUUGGGCCGCGGCGGCAGGGCCGUCUCAGGCUGCCGUCCCGCCCCUCCUGUCCGGCCGCCGCCGUCGCCGCCGCCACCGCAGCCACUGCCACCGCCUGGGGGUUGGUUGAGGCGGACGGUGGUGUCCGGGCUGGAGUGCGUCGUUCCCGCUGCGCUAGGGGAAGCGGGCAGUCAGAAAAUGGGUAAGAAGAGUCGAGUAAAAACUCAGAAAUCCGGCACUGGUGCUACAGCAACUGUGUCACCGAAGGAAAUCUUGAACCUGACCAGUGAACUGUUGCAGAAAUGCAGCAGUCCUGCGCCUGGCCCAGGAAAGGAGUGGGAAGAGUAUGUGCAGAUCCGGACUCUAGUUGAGAAAAUACGGAAAAAGCAAAAAGGUCUGUCCGUUACUUUUGAUGGAAAAAGAGAAGAUUACUUUCCUGAUCUAAUGAAAUGGGCCUCUGAAAAUGGGGCUUCUGUCGAGGGUUUUGAAAUGGUUAACUUCAAAGAAGAGGGCUUUGGUUUGAGAGCAACAAGAGAUAUCAAGGCAGAAGAAUUGUUCUUAUGGGUUCCACGGAAAUUACUAAUGACUGUUGAAUCUGCUAAAAAUUCAGUGUUGGGGCCUUUAUAUUCUCAAGACCGAAUCCUUCAAGCCAUGGGAAACAUCGCACUGGCCUUUCAUUUGCUGUGUGAGCGAGCCAGCCCUAACUCCUUCUGGCAGCCCUACAUUCAGACUCUCCCCAGUGAAUAUGACACUCCUCUCUACUUUGAAGAGGAAGAAGUUCGGUAUCUUCAGUCCACACAAGCUGUACAUGAUGUCUUCAGCCAGUAUAAAAACACAGCUCGACAGUAUGCCUACUUCUAUAAAGUCAUCCAGACCCAUCCUCAUGCCAACAAACUGCCCUUGAAGGAUUCUUUCACUUAUGAGGACUACAGGUGGGCAGUCUCUUCUGUUAUGACGAGGCAAAACCAAAUUCCCACCGAGGACGGUUCGCGGGUGACUCUGGCUCUGAUUCCUUUAUGGGACAUGUGUAACCACACCAACGGCCUGGUAACAAUCUCUUCCCCUGUGUUGUGUUGCAUCUGGGAGGCUGUUUUUGCUAAGCUUUUGAGGGGGUAUUCCACCCACCCAUCACACUCUCCCCUGCUGCCGUCCUCCUGAAGGAACAAACAAACCAAACCGGCCACUCCUCCCCACUGCCCACAAAUAGAAGCUGCAUUAACUAAUACCGAAAACUGGGAGCUUGAAUCUUACACCAUUUUUAAAAGCCACCGUGAACUACAUGUAUUUGCUAAGCCAUAAUUUCAGCCUAAACAUUCAUUUUCUUACAGUACCACAGACUAAACCAGAAUUUUUUUUAUCUUAUUCUCUUUAAAAUGCUCAGUUAUUGGGAAAAAAUUCUAUUUCUCAUUUUCCCUUUUGUGUCCUAUUUUCUUUGCUGACUCUCUGUUUCCAGUUCUGUACUUUCGAGUCUUUGUGGUUCCUUCCCUGAUGGGCUGGCGAAUCCCUGGCCAUAUUUAUGAACCUGUGUUUGUUACUCGCUUUCCCUGGUGCUGCGGGGCGGGAGGAGGGGCUGUUGCCUUCGGCUCCUCGCCCUUGGAUGCAGGAGUCAGCUGGCAUCAUCACACCUGGGAAGCCUGGGGAGGAGGAAAUUGUAUUAUUAUGGUCUCCCACAGCUGGAAGUGGAGGUGGCAGGCUCUGUUUCUCCACAUUCUUCGGAUUCCAGGCAGCAGCGUAGGUGCAGCACUCCGUGCUCUGGAGAGGGUUGUGUGAGAAAGAUUUUUCGAUAUUGGUAGGCAGAAAUAUGACACAUUUCAGAUCAUUUUGAAAUAUCAUACAUUAUGCUAGUAUACUGGUUUGAUUAGGUUUGGUGUUCAUCUUUUCUCAGUGUCAGCUUCCCUUGUUAUUAGCAGUAUUAGAAGUAGAAUAAAGAAAUGCCAUAAAUAAUUAUUUCAUGUUGAAUUCCCCAAAAUGUCCAGAACACACGUAGUGUGUGCCAGACACUGAAGACAGAAUAUCAGAGUGCUAAUUUGGGAAGGUCUAGCAACAAGUAUGCUCUUGAAUCUUAAAAGUAUUUAAAUUGUGGCAAGAAAAAAUAGUUACAUUUUUAUAAUUACAUUUUAGCCUUAAUUUAGAUAUGCUUAAUUUGUAAUACUGAGACAUGGUAGCAUGUUUUAUAAUUUAUUUUCAUUAAUGAAUAUAAUUUUUCAUUUUUUUCUUCAGAGGUAUUUUAAACUGAUCAUAAGGUUGAAAUUUUUAAAAUUUUCAAAUAGCUUUUAAUAUCCGACUGUAGUAUUUUUCUUUUUCUUUUUUUGAAUUAGUUAUCAAACUCUCAUUGGUUCUCAAACUUAAUUGAUUAUUAGAGUUCUUUUUAAUAAAAUUAAAGCAUUAAUGCUUUGUUUUACUCUAAACAAAUAAAAAGAAUUAACACAGCCUCUGUAGUAAGGAUGAGCAGUGCCCUACCCCCAGCUCCCAUGGUCCACCUGAUGCCGCUGAGGCCACCACCAGCCACCGUGAUCCCUAGCGAAGCUUUCAUCCAUUGGCACCGCACACACAUAGGCACACUGAUUUUUGUUUUGCUUCCAUAUAAAUGGGAUAAAACAAUUCCUUCUCUCCUACCAAAUGUUAAAAAAAAAAAAAGGUUAGUUUAUCUCAAAAUAAAAGUAAUCAAUUGAUGAUAACCAAUGCUAUAUUUUCCCUAAUACUACUUACAUACUUUUUAACCUACCACAGCCUGGCAGAAACAUUGCUAACCUGUAGAACGUUUAUUCGAGAUGCUGGUACUUUGUCUUCUAGUGGUUAUAUUCCUGACAUUCUUCACUCUGCACUCUUGUUGAACUGUUUCCCAUUGUAAUUAUAAGACUUCAUGGGAAAUUUACUGGGGUAGAAUUUCAGACAUUCUAUUUUAACACUACAAAGUUGUAUAUGAUACGUAUUAUAGUUAAUGUCUUUUUAAAAAUAAAGUCUUGAUAUCAAGGCUUGGCUUUUAAGACAAGAGAUUUUCUUUUUUUUGUGUGAGUCGAUCCUGGCGAUCAUCUUCUUCUUGUCAGUCUACCCUGACUAUCACUCAGGGAGUAGGUAGAAUUUGUAACCCAGCAACGCUGUCUGCUUCUAACAAUAUCCCGAAAACCUGAUGAUCGUAGUAGGAACAGAAGAAUCAAGUCUGUAACAGCAGCUCCAAACCAGUGACAGCAAGGAGAUGCUGAUGAACACCUAGGCUAGAGAUUCUGGUGAAUAUGAACUAAUUUCCUAGCCACUCAGAGAAAUAAAUGUAGAAAGGGUUAUAAGGUGUGAUACUAAGAUAUAAGAAACACAUAUCUUUAUAUCUUGCAUGAUUUGUUCAAACUUGACAUAAGCAGCAGGUUUCCUUUCUUGAGGGUUUUUCAGGUGUUAGGAGGAUACUUGUAAGUGCCUGAUAGACAGCUGUGUUAGUUCCCAUACUGAGAGUUGUACUGCGAGUAUGCUAGAAAAAUGGUGCUUGCGUUUGAAUAUGCGACUCUACCGGUUGCGAUGAAAGGGCAGCUGGAAAUUCAAGCAGAAUGGAGGGAAGUUCUUUUUCAAGGUCCUACUGUUUGUGUAUUGAAAAAUAUCUAAAACCUUUAGAUUUAGAUGAGUCUUACAGUCUCAAAAGCCACUUUUUAUAAUAGCAGACAAGUCUCUCUGCACAACCUGUCCCCCCACACUCUCUGUGCACACAGCUCUGACUCACCUCUGGUUUCCUGCUGUUCUUCAGACACCAGCAGAUUCCUUCAUUCUUGCUGUUGCCUCUGCCUGAGACCCCCCAUUCCUUAGACACUUAAGGGGACUGGCUCUGACUCAUAGACCUCCUCCAGUGAGGCUGCCCUGAGCACCCUGUGUAGAAUGGCCACACCUCCAGCCCUCUGCCCUCCUGCUCUGUCCUGCUGCAUUUCCCUCUGGUGUCCAGAUCCUCUCUUUCCACCUUUUAAAAAACAUAAUGUUGGUUCACUCCCCGCCCCGCCCCCCCCAUUAGAAUGGAAGAUCCAUGAAGGCAGGGUGAUUUUUAGGGGGUCUGUUUUGUUCAUUGCUAUAUCCCAGUGCCUGGUAUUCUUUUUAAAUGAAUUCAUGAGUGGUGAAUAAAUGAAUGUAAAAACCCCACACAUAGGAAAAAAGAUCAGAAAGAGAUAAACCAAAAUGUUAACGAUGGUGAUCUUUUUUUUUUGUUUUUAAAAAAUAUUUUCCAAAUUUUACUUAAUGAGUCUGUAUUACUUUAUCCCUCCCACCGGCCAUGAAAUCAACAUGAUACCUAUUUGUUGAAGAAAAUUUGAAAAACACAGAAAAGAAAAUUUUCCCCUCCCUGCUGGGCUCCUCCUCCAGCAUUGCCAACAAACUCCGUCCCCUGGGCACACUUGAGGCUCCACGUGCCUUUUAUAAUUUUUUUUUCUUCCUGGGUCUCUGCCACUAGAGGUCCCUAUGGGUGGGGACUGAGACUUUUCAUGCCAUUUUCCAAGUGCCUAGCUUAAGGCCUGGCAUAGAAUGGCAGUCAGUAUUUGUAGAAAGGAUGUUAGUUGGCAGGGUGGGAGGCAAAGAGCUGGGCAAGGAGAAGAUGGAAGGGCCCUGUCCUAGCUUGACAUCUGGAGGCUGCCCCUGGACUAGCCCUGGCCCUCCCAGUCCCAGACAUACUUUUGAUUCCAUCCUAGAGGAAGUGUUUGCCAGUACCACUCGGAGAAAUUAGACACUCAGCCUCCAAACAUUCUGACCCUAACUGAGAAAGGACUGCAGACUGGGGCAGGGACCCAGCCUGUUUGCCUGUCAGGGCUGCUGUGGGCACAUUAAGCCUAAUUUCGAGCUUGACAUUUGCUGAGAGUGGGAAAUAUCUGUAAAAUACCCUUAAACACUCAUAAUCCUUUCUCCACAUUCUCCUAAAUUUCCUCUUCCUUCUAAGUUCCCUCCUGUUUGUGCUGCUGGCAGGUCCCUGUGCACCUGUACCACCAGCACCCUGGGAGUGCCUGGACUCCCUCCUGGGAUUCAUGAUAUGGGAGACUUCUCAUUCCCCUUUGUUGUCAAGGUGAUGUUUUGGAGUCAGAAAAGUACAUCUGAUGUUGGGCGGGAACUUCACGGAGUUGGUUUUAAUUCAAUGGAGGUGUUUAAAAUGUUCCGCGAGUGAAAUGUUCUUGAAUACUUGGCUUCAUUUAUUUCUCAUUGCUGCAUAUUUCUCACUGGUCUUUGUGAAUCAGAAGCAUGAAGGGCUCUUAGACAUGUGCUUAAUAAACCAUAUUUAUUCUUGGGAUAUUGGGUUUAAAGAUUAGUGUUACAUGGCCUUCUAUCCCAAAAUGCCGUUCCCUAGACUCAAAAGUAAUCUUUUGAAUCCAAGCUGUUGAUGCCUUUAUCAGCAAGGAAUACUUGUAGCUGCCUUGAGUCUUUGAUUCUCCAGGAUAAAAUGAGUAGGUCAAAAAGUAAUCAGCGAGCAUCGACAGACAACCUAAGAGAUUGGCAGCUGCUUUAAAAGACACGACUCUGAGAAGGAACUUUUAAUAUAAGUUGGGGACCGUUUCCUUUCCCUGGGAGUUCAUGCAUCAUGUGGAUAUUCUCAAAGGCCACUUCAGGUUUUAGGUUCUGUGGGCUGUGCACUCGACACAGAGAUCAACAAGGGGCUCCAGCUUCCAAGCCUGACUGAUGGGAGGCAGGUGCACAAUGAUGUGACUUGGGCUGGAGGGAGAGCAAGGACUGGGCUGUGGGAGUGCACAGGAGGGCGGGGUGAGGAGGGGCUUCCCCCAAGAAGCUAGGCCUCAGCCAGGUCUCCAGGGCACGAUAGGAGUCAAGGGUAGUGUCAGGCAGGAGGGAACUGGGACGGGCCUGGUACAGCAGGGUGGCAGUUCCUGAAGCUGGAGGGAAACAUGAGCCGCCUCCUUUUUCGGCUGUGCUCAGGAACUUGGGGUUUAUUCUGAAGGCAGAGCAGAAUCAUAGGAAGAUUUCACACAGGAGGGUGACAUUGUAUAAUUAGCAACUCAGGAAGGACAGUAUUGGAUUUUGAGACUAGGUUCCAAAACUUGUAAGGUUUUUGCAAAUAACGAGGUAGGUGAGAAGGAAUAAGGACUGUAGCCAUGUAGAGAAAUGAGGAAGAAAGUCAUCCAAAUGGUGUUUACAAGAUGAAAUGCUGACCAGAUCACUACUGGUUACAACCUGGAAGAUGACCGCUGUGAGUGUGUGGCUCUGCAGGAUUUUCGGGCUGGAGAGCAGAUUUACAUUUUUUAUGGCACUCGAUCAAAUGCAGAGUUUGUGAUCCACAGUGGUUUUUUCUUUGACAAUAACUCACAUGACAGAGUGAAAAUAAAGCUUGGAGUGAGUAAAAGUGACAGA